AGCCCCUUAUUCUCUCUCCUCCAUUUUCGCUCUCCUUCGUGAUUCUCUCUCCUCACCGCUACUGUUUCCUAGCUGCAACCAUCGCGCCGCCACCAUCUCCACGCUGCCAUCAUCCACGCAUCGUCUUCUCUUCUUCAAUUUGGAGGAAUUGAAGAAAUUGUGAAAAGUUUCUCGCAAAAUCCAAAGCUCCGCCACCACUCCACCACCACUCCGCCGACCGCCACCACUCCAACUCCACUCCGCUGACCGCCACCACUUCGCCGACUACUACCACUCCGUCGACCGCCACCAUAUCUUCGCCCUCUCUUCUGUGAGGGGUUUAGUAAUGGAGCUUCAAAAUCAGAGGAAGUGUUGGCUAUGCUUUACACCAUGGCUAUUAUGAGAGCUUGCAUAUUGAAAGUCCUCCUCAACGUCACCACAAAGCCGCCUUCUAAGUCUCAAAGUCGGGCUUCCUUUACAAGCGCUACUAAAACAAAAUAAUCUACUGAGUACAUUUUUCAUGGGGGAUUCAAUUGCUGUCACGGCGACGACGACGAUUCUGAUGAAGCAUUAGUUAAAUUCUCAGCCAUUAAAUUCUGACUCUCUUGCACACUCAAACUUAAGUGAGAAGGUGUAGAGUUGGAGUUGGCCAAAACAAUUGGGUUCUUCACUUCUUCUUUCUUAUCCUUUUUGAAUUGGUUUGAAGCUGACAUCUGUUGCUGCUUCUGAAUUGGAGAGAGUGGUAUGGUGACUGUCUUACUCACUCACAAAGUCACAAUCUGAAUCUGCAAAUCAAGAAUUACUUAUAAUAAUAAAUGACCAUUCCACCAUACUGUGCUAAAUUGCUAUAAAACAUCAGAGCUCCUAACAUUAUUGUGUCGA